GCUCAGGAUGAACGCUGGCGGCGUGCUUAACACAUGCAAGUCGAGCGAAGCGGUUUCGAUGAAGUUUUCGGAUGGAUUUGAAAUUGACUUAGCGGCGGACGGGUGAGUAACGCGUGGGUAACCUGCCUUACACUGGGGGAUAACAGUUAGAAAUGACUGCUAAUACCGCAUAAGCGCACAGGGCCGCAUGGUCCGGUGUGAAAAACUCCGGUGGUGUAAGAUGGACCCGCGUCUGAUUAGGUAGUUGGUGGGGUAACGGCCCACCAAGCCGACGAUCAGUAGCCGACCUGAGAGGGUGACCGGCCACAUUGGGACUGAGACACGGCCCAAACUCCUACGGGAGGCAGCAGUA
rnacentral:rRNA from 1 species